rnacentral:lncRNA from 7 species
UCUCUGUCACACCGACAGGGCCCGAGGGAACGGCACGGGGCUGCGUCGUGUUUUAAAAGCAGACGCAGUGCACCUCACUUGUGUCUGUGCCUGCUAAGAGCCCCGCCGUUGUCGGAUACACGCCGUGUUUACUGUUGCUCUUCUCAGGCUGUGCGGUUGACGAGUGAGAGCAGUGUGUCUGACACAGCUGAGCCGUGCAGGAGCCCACAGUACCUGGCGAAGAGAGCAGUGGUCCAGUACCAGAACAGAAUUUCCUUGGCUUGGAAGGCAGAAAGGAAGAAUGCGUCAUCAGGAGUUGGAGGCCUCCUUGAACUGUAGCUCAGAAGUGUGGGACUAGUGUCAUUCAUACCAGCUGAGGACUGAGAGCUCCCCAGGAAUUUUCCUUAAAAUAAACCAAAAACCAACGCUGUCUUCAAUGGAGAGAUACGCUGCAAAGAAAAUGGAUAUUCAGUGGUUGAAAAUGAACCAGAAGAAAGAACUUCAGAAGAAAGAGCUGGGAAGGAUAGAAGAGAAAAAUGAAGUGAACUUUAAGGCAGAAGAACAGAGGCAGUGAAGGUGUGACAAGAUUAAGACCAAGAUGGAGAAAGACGAAACCAGAGUUUCAGAGCUCUUGAGGACACCACAUGCCCAUGACCCUGCAGAAGAAACUGGAAAAACACCACUUCAACUUGUAAUUGGAUACAAGCUGUCUGAGAUGGAAAUUGAGAGCAAAGUUCUCUGUUUAUUUACGAGCCAGCACUGAUACCUGAAGCAUAAAGCAAGGCACCUUCAGAUCAAUGCCAGCAAACUCUCGACUAUAUUGGAAAAUCCUUCCUGCCACGGGACAAGCACGACCGUGUCCUCGUGUUCUUUCAGCGUAACCCCCACCUUGAUAACACUUGUCAUCUGAGCAGCUUGUAUGACAGGUCUGUGAAGUGGAUUACUACUGUCCACUAGAGGCUGUAAUGAGACCAACAAUGUCAUUUUAUGACAAAUUGAAGUCUUAGACUGUAAUGAUCGAUAAUUGUAAGAUUACUGUUCACAUGCAGUGCAUCGUCAAUCACUGGAUUUCCCUGAACGUGGAUGU